AGUGAACGCUGGCGGUAGGCCUAACACAUGCAAGUCGAACGGCAGCACAGUAAGCGCUUGCUCUUACGGGUGGCGAGUGGCGGACGGGUGAGGAAUACAUCGGAAUCUACUUUUUCGUGGGGGAUAACGUAGGGAAACUUACUCUAAUACCGCAUACGACCUACUGGUGAAAGCAGGGGAUCUUCGGACCUUGCGCGAUUGAAUGAGCCGAUGUCGGAUUAGCUAGUUGGCGGGGUAAAGGCCCACCAAGGCGACGAUCCGUAGCUGGUCUGAGAGGAUGAUCAGCCACACUGGAACAGAGACACGGUCCAGACGCCUACGGGAAGAAGCAGUGGAGAAUAUUGGACAAUGGGCGCAAGCCUGAUACAGCCAUACCGCGUGGGUGAAGAAGGCCUUCGGGUUGUAAAGCCAUUUUGUUGGGAAAGAAAAGCAGCAGGUUAAUACCCCGCUGUUAUGACGGUACCCAAAGAAUAAGCACCGGCUAACUUCGUG
rnacentral:rRNA from 1 species